UCCGAGUUGUCCUAAUCAGAAAACUCAGCUUGGUAAGUAAGCAAACAGGAAGCCGUAUGAGAAAUGGAGAGCCGGCCAGCCUUGGAGUUCAAACACCUAUGCUUAAAUCCUGACCCUCCUGCAUGUGUGACCUUUUAAAGUUUCAUUUUCCUCAAAUGAGAGUAUUGGAGUACAUCCCCUCUAAUGGUCUCUUCAUCCUCUAACUCUAAAUAAUGAAUCCACACAAGAAAAUCCAGCUCUGUUCUAGCAAAGCUAUAUAAUGCUCCUGCUAGAAUUCUUUCUCCCAACAUUUCUGAAAGUUAAAAAAAAGGAGUUUUAUUCUUAGUUAAUUAUACUUGCAAACGAAGUGCAAACUCUAUUGUCCUAGGAACCCUAUACCCCCUGGGUGUAGCUGGAAGACUAGAACUCUGAGUACAACACUUAAACUUGAAACUGGAGUUUCUCUAGGAGGUCGUGAUCUAAACCAAGCCUUAAUGCCCUCAAGCUGCUUCAUUACUGCACAUCACUGCAUAAGCCUUCAUUCUGUAUUGGCUCAAAAAGUUUAAAAACUUUAAUUAUUUCUUUUUUUUUUCUUUCUCUCCCUUCCUUUUUUUCCGUUUAAGAAAGAUGCUUUAUUCUGAAGUCACCUAUGAGUUUCAACCUUCACAAGUUCUGAGGUUCCCAGGCUGCCUAGAGAAUAAAUUGGCACUUGAAUUCAAGGCAAUCUAAUUUUAUGCCAGUCAAGAAGAAUUUGGAAUCAAGAAAAAUCAAACUUCAAAAUCUGUCUCUGGGUAUCAGUGCUACUGCAAAGAAAGCAGAUAUGGGACCUGUCACUGGCUUUUUGGCGCCCAGAGGUGCUUAGAGGAGCUGACAUCUGCCUUCAGAGGAUGUAGCAGCCUCUUCAGGGAUGCUCUUACUCCCAAUGCUCAAAGUGGCUUCACAGCCUGAAAUCCUUCUAAUAAGCUUAAGACAGGGCUGAAUUUAUUUAAAUGUCUAAUUCUAAAUGUACGUAUGCCUGGUAGUAAUGUUUACCAUCUGUCUGACACUGCCGGUUGAGGUAAUUGUCAGGCUACAGUAUGACAUAUGCUGCACAUAUUUGGACCUUAAAUAUAACAGCCUUGGCAUGAAACAAUUGGAAACUGAGAUUUAAUCUUUGGUAUCAUUCAAGUUGGAGUUGAACAAACAGACAGUUCUGGUCUAUUACUGUUUUCUCCUGUUAUGAUAAAUACUCCUCUGUGCCCAGGCCUGGGAACAAUGAUAUUUUGGGACCUGGGUUUAUUUUUUGGGGAGAGUGACUUGAGGGAAAUUUUACUACUCUAUUUCUGGGACAUAGGAAACUAAAUGGGAAGGUGGCUUAGGAAUAGAAGGAUAAAACCCAAUCCUGGGAUCCAGACUCCAACAACAUAUGGUCUCAAUCAACUAGUUCAGAGAAGACCAUCCUUAAUGAACUGGAGUCCUAAUGGUUCACUCCAUCCACUAAGGUGACCCUAUGGGGUGUGAAGGAAAGGAAAAACUAUGAUUUUUCUUUUUAUUUCACCUA